rnacentral:rRNA from 1 species
UGGGGAAUAUUGGACAAUGGGCGCAAGCCUGAUCCAGCAAUGCCGCGUGAGUGAUGAAGGCCUUCGGGUUGUAAAGCUCUUUCGCACGCGACGAUGAUGACGGUAGCGUGAGAAGAAGCCCCGGCUAACUUCGUGCCAGCAGCCGCGGUAAUACGAAGGGGGCUAGCGUUGUUCGGAAUUACUGGGCGUAAAGGGCGCGUAGGCGGUGGAUCAAGUCAGGCGUGAAAGCCCCGGGCUCAACCUGGGAACCGCGCUUGAGACUGGUGCGCUAGAGUUCGGGAGAGGAUGGUGGAAUUCCCAGUGUAGAGGUGAAAUUCGUAGAUAUUGGGAAGAACACCGAUGGCGAAGGCAGCCAUCUGGACCGACACUGACGCUGAGGCGCGAAAGCGCGGGGAGCAAACAGGAUUAGAUACCCUGGUAGUCCACGCCGUAAACGAUGAGUGCUAGACGUCGGGGCCCUCAGGGCUUCGGUGUCGCAGCUAACG